CAAACUCCCUUCUGUGUGCGAAAAAUCAAAGGCGGAAAAUACUAAGAAACAAUAUUCAGCUGCAUUCAACAGAUUCUAACGGGGUGAUUACUUGUAUGUGACGAAGAUUUAUUUAAUGUUAUAACGAUUGUAAAAUUAAAAAGCUGUUGCACUCGCGCAUGCGAGCUCAUCCUUUAUA